CCCUAAGGCGCAAUGAAAGUGAAGGUCAGGCAUCGCACUGACUGAGGCAGGAUCCGUCCGGGUGAGCGAAGCUCUUCUUCCCUUCGCGGGUUCGUCCCGCGGGGGAGCUCGGCGGCGCACUGCCAGCCCAUCUCGGCCGCUUCCCGUCGGCGAGGUGGAGCCAGAGCGCACACGUUGGGACCCGAAAGAUGGUGAACUAUGCUCGGGCAGGACGAAGCCAGAGGAAACUCUGGUGGAGGUCCGUAGCGAUUCUGACGUGCAAAUCGAUCGUCGGACCCGAGUAUAGGGGCGAAAGACUAAUCGAACCGUCUAGUAGCUGGUUCCUUCC
rnacentral:rRNA from 1 species